CGUACCCCAAGGUCGGGGAUAGCGGCUGGAAACGGCCGGUAAUACCCGAUGACCCCCGCGGGCCGCAUGGCCUGCGGGGCAAAGGCUUGCUGCCUUGGGAUCGGGCAAAGCGCUAUCAGCUUGUUGGUGAGGUAACGGCUCACCAAGGCAAAGACGGCUAGCGGGUGUGAGAGCAUGACCCGCCGCAUCGGGACUGAGACACUGCCCGGACUCCUACGGGAGGCUGCAGUAACGAAUCUUCCGCAAUGCGCGAAAGCGUGACGGAGCAAUGCCGCGUGAAGGAUGAAGCCCCUCGGGGUGUAAACUUCUGUCAGGGUUUAGGAAUUCUGACCAAACCCAAAGGAAGGACCGGCUAACUUCGUGCCAGCAGCCGCGGUAAGACGAAGGGUCCAAGCGUUAAUCGGAAUCACUGGGCUUAAAGCGUGCGCAGGCGGGCCUGUAAGUACCUUGUGAAAUACCACCGCUCAACGGUGGAAUGGCAGGGUAUACUGCAGGCCUUGAGGCCGGUAGAGGUUGCCGGAACUGUAGGUGUAGCGGUGAAAUGCGUAGAUAUCUACAGGAACACCAAAGACGAAGGUAGGCAACUGGGCCGGUUCUGACGCUCAGGCACGAAAGCGUGGGGAGCAAACAGGAUUAGAUACCCUGGUAGUCCACGCCGUAAACGAUCUGCACUAGAUUCGAGAGGCUCUGACGCCAUUCGGGUCGAAGCAAAAGUGUUAAGUGCACCGCCUGGGGAGUACGGUCGCAAGGCUAAAACUCAAAGGAAUUGACGGGGGCUCACACAAGCGGUGGAGCAUGUGGCUUAAUUCGAAGCAACGCGAAGAACCUUAUCCUGGGUUUGACAUGCACGGAUACCCUCGCCGAAAGGCGAGUAAGUUGCCCAUUCGGGUGAAACGUGCACAGGUGCUGCAUGGCUGUCGUCAGCUCGUGCUGUGAAGUGUUGGGUUAAGUCCCUUAACGAGCGAAACCCCUGUCGCUAGUUGCUGACAGGUCUCCGGACGCUGAGGACUCUAGCGAGACUGCCGGUGUCAAACCGGAGGAAGGCGGGGAUGACGUCAAGUCCUCAUGGCCUUUAUGCCCAGGGCUGCACACGUGCUACAAUGGCGUGAACAGAGCGACGCAAUACCGUAAGGUGGAGCAAAUCGCAAAAAUCACGCCCCAGUUCGGAUCGAGGUCUGC
rnacentral:rRNA from 1 species